ACUCCUACGGGAGGCAGCAGUAGGGAAUAUUGGGCAAUGGAGGCAACUCUGACCCAGCCAUGCCGCGUGCAGGAAGACGGUCCUCUGGAUUGUAAACUGCUUUUGAAUGGGAAGAACUAUACUCUUGCGAGAGUAUUUGACGGUACUAUUAGAAUAAGCACCGGCUAACUCCGUGCCAGCAGCCGCGGUAAUACGGAGGGUGCAAGCGUUAUCCGGAUUUAUUGGGUUUAAAGGGUGCGUAGGCGGCUUUAUAAGUCGGGGGUUAAAGGCAGCCGCUUAACGGUGUGUAUGCCUUCGAUACUGUAGAGCUUGAGUGACCUGGAGGUAGCUGGAAUUCCCUGUGUAGCGGUGAAAUGCAUAGAUACGGGGAGGAAUACCGAUUGCGAAGGCAUGUUACUACGGGUAAACUGACGCUGAUGCACGAAAGCGUGGGGAUCAAACAGGAUUAGAUACCCUGGUAGUCCACGCCGUAAACGAUGAUUACUAGUUGUUGGGCGAUAGUUCAGUGACCAAGGGAAACCGAUAAGU
rnacentral:rRNA from 1 species